rnacentral:rRNA from 1 species
GGCAUUAGGCACAACCCUACGUUAGCCCACAACGCCUUGCUCAGCCACACCCCCAAGGGAACUCAGCAGUAAUAAACAUUAAGCUAUAAGUGAAAACUUGACUUAGUUAAAACCAAGAGGGCCGGUAAAACUCGUGCCAGCCACCGCGGUUAUACGAGAGGCCCAAGUUGACAACUACCGGCGUAAAAUGUGGCUAAUAUAGUAUUACACUAAAGCUAAACAUCUUCAAAGCUGUUAUACGCAUCCGAAGACAGGAUGCCCUUCCACGAAAGUGGCUUUAAACAAUAUUAACCCACGAAAGCUAGGAAACAAACUGGGAUUAGAUACCCCACUAUGCCUAGCCUUAAACAAAAGCGAUUUAUUUACACCCCUCGCUUGCCAGGGAACUACGAGCCCCAGCUUAAAACCCAAAGGACUUGGCGGUGCUUUAGACCCACCUAGAGGAGCCUGUUCUAGAACCGAUAACCCCCGUUCAACCUCACCUUCUCUUGUUUUUCCCGCCUAUAUACCGCCGUCGUCAGCUUACCCUGUGAAGGGUACAUAGUGAGCACAAUUGGUACAACCCAAAACGUCAGGUCGAGGUGUAGCGUACGAGAAGGGAAGAAAUGGGCUACAUUUACUGAACCAGUAAACACGGAUAAUGCCUUGAAACAGACAUUUAAAGGAGGAUUUAGCAGUAAGAGAGGAAUAGAGCGCCCCUCUGAAACUGGCCCUGAAGCGCGCACACACCGCCGUCACUCUCCCCCACAACCCUAGUGAU